rnacentral:rRNA from 1 species
GACGAACGCUGGCGGCGUGCUUAACACAUGCAAGUCGAACGGAAAGGCCCUGCUUUUGUGGGGUGCUCGAGUGGCGAACGGGUGAGUAACACGUGAGUAACCUGCCCUUGACUUUGGGAUAACUUCAGGAAACUGGGGCUAAUACCGGAUAGGAGCUCCUGCUGCAUGGUGGGGGUUGGAAAGUUUCGGCGGUUGGGGAUGGACUCGCGGCUUAUCAGCUUGUUGGUGGGGUAGUGGCUUACCAAGGCUUUGACGGGUAGCCGGCCUGAGAGGGUGACCGGCCACAUUGGGACUGAGAUGCGGCCCAGACUCCUACGGAAGCCAGCAGUGGGGAAUAUUGCACAAUGGGCGGACGCCUGAUGCAGCAACGCCGCGUGCGGGAUGACGGCCUUCGGGUUGUAAACCGCUUUCGCCUGUGACGAAGCGUGAGUGACGGUAAUGGGUAAAGAAGCACCGGCUAACUACGUG